UGGGAAGAGGCAGGAGGGGUUCUGUUAACGGUCCAACAGGCAGCUCGCUCAGAUGCUCUGUUGUCUUCAGUCUCAGUGUUCCCCCCCCACGCAGCUGUGCCGUGCAAGUAACACUUCACUCUUAUAGGCUGAGCUGUAUUUCAGGGCUUCACUGACAAGUGACUCACUGCUGAUGCUGGUAACACGAACUCAAGGUGCAGAAACUUUGAAAUGGAUGGGGUAGAUGAGACCGGAAGCUCCAUCAUCUGGACUGCUAGGACUUGAACUCCAGCAGCUAAGCCAUCUGUGAUACACCAAGAGGACCAGGUAACAUAGGGCUACUGAUGUUCACAGCACCAGAAGAGACUAAGACUUCUUGUCUCUUGAAGUAAAAGACAGCAUGAAUCUCAAGCGCCAUGGCUUUCUCGCUAACUUCUAGGGUGAAUUUAAGGAAACCCUUGAACUGCUCCAUCUUGAAAACAUUUUUAACAGGUUCCUCACAUCCCAGCUAGACUGAACUUCUUCACGGCAGGGCUUGCCUGCUCUCACUUGAGGUUGCUGAGGUCAAGAGGAUGCUCAAUUGUGGACCAACAGAAAGAGCAGAGGUACAACAACAUAAAACAGUUUCUCUGGUUGCCCUCAGUAGCUCACUACUAGGGAUUUAUUUUUGGCUCGAAGGUCAGGGAGGACAUUUGAAGGCACUACUUCUGUCGCUAAACUGUGUUUUCCAACAUGAGUUGCCUGGGUUGGGAGAGGAGCCCUCACUGUCGGUCUUGGAAUGGAAGCCUAGGAUGUGGUAAUGCCAUCCGCACAAUAGGUGAGACUCCCCUCUUCAAUCAAGCACUUAAAUCACACAAAUGUCCAGGGAAGAGGAAGGAUCAACAUAAUGUAAUGUGUGCAUCUCCUAGGAUAAGCAGGAAUGCUGCUCACUUCUGCUUAGGUGUGCAGGCAAACUGCAUACAUACAUGAAGGUGGGAGAAGUAAUCAGAA